UACGUAGGGUGCGAGCGUUGUCCGGAAUUAUUGGGCGUAAAGAGCUCGUAGGCGGCUCGUCGCGUCGGCUGUGAAAACCUGGGGCUCAACCCCGGGCCUGCAGCCGAUACGGGCGAGCUAGAAUUCGGUAGGGGAGACUGGAAUUCCUGGUGUAGCGGUGAAAUGCGCAGAUAUCAGGAGGAACACCGGUGGCGAAGGCAGAUCUCUGGGCCGUAACUGACGCUGAGGAGCAGAAGC
rnacentral:rRNA from 1 species